rnacentral:rRNA from 1 species
GAGUUUGAUCCUGGCUCAGAACGAACGCUGGCGGCGUGCUUAACACAUGCCAAGUUCGAACGCGAAAGUUUUCUUUCGAGAAAGCGAGUAGAGUGGCGCACGGGUGAGUAACGCGUAAAUAAUCUACCCCUGCAUUUGGGAUAACCCACCGAAAGGUGAGCUAAUACCGGAUACGUUCUUUAGAUUGCGAGAUUUAGAGAAGAAAGGUGGCCUCUGAUAUAAGCUACUGUGCGGGGAGGAGUUUGCGUACCAUUAGCUAGUUGGUAGGGUAAUGGCCUACCAAGGCAACGAUGGUUAGCAGGUCUGAGAGGAUGAUCCGCCACACUGGAACUGGAACACGGACCAGACUCCUACGGGAGGCAGCAGUGAGGAAUAUUGCGCAAUGGGGGCAACCCUGACGCAGCGACGCCGCGUGGAUGAUGAAGGCCUUCGGGUCGUAAAAUCCUGUCAGAUGGAAAGAAAUGCUAUAUGAAUAAUACUUGUAUAGUUUGACGGUACCAUCAAAGGAAGCACCGGCCAACUCCGUGCCAGCAGCCGCGGUAAUACGGAGGGUGCAAGCGUUGUUCGGAAUUACUGGGCGUAAAGCGCGCGUAGGUGGUUUGUUAUGUCAGAUGUGAAAGUCCACGGCUCAACCGUGGAAGUGCAUUUGAAACUGGCAAACUUGAGUACUGGAGGGGGUAGUGGAAUUCCCGGUGUANAGGUGAAGUUCGUAAAUAUCGGGAGGAAUACCGGUGGCGAANGCGACUACCUGGCCAGAUACUGACACUGAGGUGC